UGGUGCAGUAGUGAGGCAGUAGUGAUACAAUAGUGGGGCAGUAGUGAGGCAGUAGUGGUGCAGUAGUGAGGCAGUAGUGGGGCAGUAGUGGGGCAGUAGUGAUGCAGUAGUGGGGCAGUAGAGGGGCAGUAGUGAGGCAGUAGUGAGGCAGUAGAGGGGCAGUAGAGGGGCAGUAGAGGGGCAGUAGUGGGGCAGUAGUGAGGCAGUAGAGGGGCAGUAGAGGGGCAGUAGUGGUGCAGUAGUGAGGCAGUAGUGAUACAGUAGUGGGGCAGUAGUGG